UCAGACUGAAAAUGGUCUCAGGUGUGACAGUGAUCUGGGGUCAGAUAACUGAGCCUAAAUUAUUUUGGCACGUUAAGCUUAUCGCCUGCUUACCUGUUGGCAAGGUGAUAAAACCCAUGUGCCGACAAUA